CUUUCUUACACUUGUAGCCCUCCUCCUAUACCCAUUAAACACAAGUCCACCUUUCUUCCUCCUCUUUGGAUAGGAUCAUAACCGCGUUAUCGAUCACUAGACAGAGAGAGAAGCCAAGAGAAAGCUCAAAUGGUUGUUGUACCAGCUCUUUCAAUAUUCAUCCUCCUCCUCCUCCUCUUCAACCACGGCUACAUCACCACAGCCUUCGCCGCAGACUCGCCUGCUUGCAAGCCCACAUGUGGAUCCCUGCAACUGAGAUACCCAUUUGGCACAGGCCCUGGCUGUGGCUCACCAAUUUUCCAACCCUACAUAACCUGCGCAUUUAUCAAUAAUCAGCAGCAGCUCCUCCUCCUCACCACCCACACAGGCUCAUACCCUAUCACUUCCAUUUCCUAUGCCUCCCAAACCCUAAUCCUAACCCCACCCUCCAUGUCCAACUGCACCUCCAUGCAACCCUCUUCCUCCAACUUCGGCCUUGACUGGGCCUCCCCAUUUCAGCUCGGCCCAUCAACUUUCAUCCUCUUGUCCUGCCAGCCCCCCACCUCUUCCCUCACCCUCAAACCCUCCGGCAUCCCCGUCUGUGAUCCCUCCUACUCUUACCUUUGUGCUUCUAUCUAUACGUGUCCAUCCGUCGUAGGUCUUGGCCUCCCCUUGUUCCCCCCAACAAACACAUGCUGUGUGUAUUCACCAGGGAAUCUUGAUGCUAAGGGUGAGUUGGACCUCAACGGGUUAAAGUGUGCCUCAUUUACAUCCGUGGUGUCUCUCGGAGACUACCCGACGGACCCUGUGCGGUGGGAGUAUGGGGUGGCGUUGAAGUACAGUCACGGUGGUUUGGACAGUGGCAUUGUGGAUACAAAGUGCAAGAGCUGUGAGAUGAGUGAUGGGGUUUGUGGGUAUAGGGUUGAUGAUCAUGAUCAGUUUCUUUGUGUGUGUAAGAAUGGUUACAACACCUCAUCAGAUUGCCAUAAUAAUUACACUCCGGAUUCGGAACUGCUUUGGGGCUCCGGCGCCUGUGAUAAUCAUUUACCAGUUAAUAUUUACAAGUUUUAUUGCGUGAGCAAAAGAGAGAGAACUUAAGCGUUAAGGAGCAAUGGAAGUGACAAAACUUUUCAAAUCGAAAAAUAUUCUAGUGCCUUGUUAGCUUUAGGGAAAAUGUGGUCUGCGCUUGUGGCUGGCUUGAUGAUCAUAAUGCUUGAGAGAGAGAUGGCUUUUACUUGGAAAUGCUUCUUUUGAUUUGAUCUGUGUAAGCUGUAAUCGAUCGUCAUCUUUUGAAUAAUGGUGCGUUUACUAAUCCGUAAUCAGAUUGAAGGGAAUUGGAUUGAGGAGGAAACAGAAUUAGAUUCCUGUUGAUGUUGUUUACUAUACUAGCUGGAAUCGGAGUAAAAAUGAUAUUGAUUUCAUAUAACUUAUGUACUAGUUCACCUGAAUCGGAAUUAAAACUAGCUUGAUUAUUAAA